rnacentral:rRNA from 1 species
UCAACGCCCGGGUACUACGAGCCCCAGCUUAAAACCCAAAGGACUUGACGGUGUCCCAUCCACCUAGAGGAGCCUGUUCUAUAAUCGAUAAUCCCCGCUAAACCCAACCUCCUCUUGCAAUCAGCCUGUAUACCUCCGUCGUAAGCUUACCAUAUGAAUGACCCCCAGUAAGCUAAAUGAUUAUAACACCCCAAUACGUCAGGUCAAGGUGCAGCUCAUGAGAAGGCAAGCAAUGGGCUACAAUUUCUAACCUAGAACAAACGAAACACUGCAUGAAACUCAGCUGUGAAGGCGGAUUUAGUAGUAAAAAGAAAAUAGCGUGUUCUUUUUAACUAGGCCCUGGGACGUGU